rnacentral:lncRNA from 10 species
CUUAGGCUUGGCGGUGGCGGCGGCGGCAGCUUCGCGCCGAAUCCCCGGGGAGCGGCGGUGGCGGCGUCCUGGGGCCAGGAGGAGCGAACACCUGCCGCGGUCCUCCCGCCGGCGCUGGGCACACGACUGUCUAUCCCAGAUGGCUGCACUGGCCUAGGACAGACGGUUCUUCCCCCAGUACGUCAAGACCCUGGAGGGUGCAAGCUACAGAACAGCUGGGCUCCUGCAUUCCUCCCAGACCCUGUCUUCAGUAGGACAACAGGCAACAAACUUAAAUUUGGGAUUCUCAUUCUGUCUCCCAUGCUGGAGUGCAGUGGCGCGGUCUUGGCUCACUGAAACCUUUGCUUCCCAGGGUCAAGCGAUUCCCCUGCCUCAGCUUCCUGAGUAGCUGGGAUUACAGGCUCUGUGUGCUCCGGGAUGGAGCAGGUGUGCAGAGGGUGAGAACCCAGCUCUGGGACCAAGUCACUUGCUUCCUUACUUAGCAAGACUAUCGACUUGAGCAAACUUGGACCUGGGAUGAGGAUGUCUGUGGGCCUCUCGCUGCUGCUGCCCCUCUCGGGGA